ACCUCAGAGAAAUCAGUCUAUGAGGGAAUUCAUGCGGUCUUGGUUCUUGCCAUUCUAAGGUUUCUAGGGAAGUUGGUGGCGCUAGUGAAGCUCAGCCAUGGAAUCAAAACUGGUGAAUCCGGCUACAUGUACAUAUCUCUGAGCAAGAUGAUCGUGAAUGUCGAGUACUCUGUCGACAAAAAUCUUCUUUGUCUACUCAAUCGUAAAACAGAAGACGCCAUAGCUGAACCGUCGUAUCUUCUUCGGGACUUUACGGGUGUGAAUUAUGGUGAUAGUCCAGUUGCAGUUGCAAGGAGAAGUAAAAAGAGGAAGCUAAACUGAAACGAGAAAUGUUUUGAACUCGAGAGAAAAAGGAGGGAUCAAGCAUCAGAUAGAAGUGGAGUGCAACAGUACACAAUUUAACUAGGACACAAGACAAGGAGUAUAUUGUAGAGAAUGAACUUUUGCUAAUAUCUGAUAUUGAGCAUACGUUUGAGAGAUACAUGAUUUUGUGGUGCCUUUUU